AGCAGAGGGUGAUUACACUGCAGGGAGCUGCCAGCCCCGGCUGAACAAUAGGUGGAGGGAGGCCAGGUGUCUGUGAAGGGGGAUGGAUCACUCUGAGCACCCCCGUGCCCCUGCCUCAGUUCCUCGGACCUGUUUGCAAAAUGAAAAUGUUGGGCCAGGUUCUUCCUUAUGUUCCUUCCAGCUCCCGGAUUCUAAAUCUAAUGAGUUAAAAUGAGAAGUGGGAGACAAGGUUCUCAAACCUGGCUGCACCUCACAGUCACUUGCUGAGCUUCUAAAUGCAGAUGUUUGGGCUUCACUGGUCUAGACCAAGAGAAGUGGAAUUUCCUGGAGUAUGGGUGACCAGCAAGUGAACAAAUGGAAGCUUGUUCGCUCUGGGGGAAGCCAGCUGCCAUGUCAUGAGAAGGCUCAAGCAGCCUAUGAAGAUGUCCAUGUGAUAAAGAACUGAGGCCUCCUGCCAACAGCCAUGCAAGGAAGCCAUCUUGGAAGUAGAACUUCUAGCCCCCGUCAAGCCUCAGAUGUCUGCAGCCCCAGCUAACAUCAGAUUGCAACCUCAUGAGAGACCCUGAGCCAGAACCACCCAGCUCCGCCACUCCUGAUUCCUAACCCUUAGGGACUGGUAUCCUUAUAAGAGAAAGGAGAGAGAUUUGAGACAAAGAGACACAUGGAAAGCCAUGUGAAGACAGAAGCAGAGAUUGGAGUGAUACAUCUAUAAGCAAAGGAUUGCCAGAACCACAGAAGCUGGGAGAGAGGCACUUGAAGGGAUUCUCCCUCAGAACAUUUAGAAGGUCCAGCCUGGUCAACACCUUGAUUUUAAAUUUCUGAUCUCCAGAACUAUGGAAGAAUAAGUUUUUGUUGUUUUAAGCCCCCCCAGUUUGGGGUAAUUUAUUAUGGCAGCCACAGGAAAUAAAUAUACCUCCCUUCGGAGGCCCCUGGUUCAUCUCAACCCCAAAACUUGGCAGCAGAGUGAGACAGGGAAUUAUAAAAACCAUAUAGUUUACCAAGCACACUUUUAUCUCGCUUGGGUCUAACCACAACCUUGCGAUGUUACAUUGUUUCAUGGGUAAGGUGGUGUUAUCACUCCUUUUUUUUUUCAACAGCUAAGGAAAAGAGCCCAGAAAAUUUAAGCGAUUUGCCCAAGGUCUCUCACCUGGAUGGCAUAGAGCCCAGAAUUUGGGUCUCCACAUGCUAAAUCCUGACCUCUUUAGUACACAAGAGGAGGCUGGCAGGAGUACAAGGACACUUGUAAAGUCUCCCAGUUCACUGUCUAUAACUCCUCACUUUAAAAUGUAGGUACUCAGCAGGAUGGGAGGUGGAGGGAGCAGGAAGGUGAGAUCAAGCUUAACACCCUUCUGCCUAGCUCAGAAUCACAAUAGACCUUUGACAGCAUAUAAUAACUCCCAUAAACUACAGCAGUGAAGUCUAACUUAAACAUUUUAGUGGCCCCUUCAGAUCCUUAACAAUGCUAUAAAUGCAAUCCUGGUGUGAUUUAUAAAGCUAUUAAAAUAAAUACUUCCACUAAAAUAAACAUUGCUGCCUCUCAGCAUAUGUUUCCUUGCAAAACAGAAACACAAAUUUACCUGAAUUUGCAAAACCUUAAGCAAUGAUGAUAAAGGCAGAAUGGGCGCUGUACAGAAAUGAACUGACGUGCACGUGUCUUGACAGCAUCUUUCCCUAAGGAGAGGUGGUCUUUCAGCUUUGAAGCCUUCACCUUGCUUCUCAGUUUGGAGAAAUGCCUCCAUGGCCUGAGGCCCAGCUGAUGCCACUCCAUCCAUGAAUUUCACAUUAUGCACAGAAAAGCGCUCUUUAAAAUGCUCCCCCUAACCUUUCCAUAUGGUUCAGCUCACAUGGAGAAUCCAAUUGAGGUCUUUCCCAUUUCUCAUGUCUCAGAAAUGUCUGCAGGGCCUAGACCCCAGGAGGUUUUGGAGCAGGGGAAGGACAGGAUCAGAUUUGUUAAUCAUGUCUUUGAGCCAUGAGCUUUGGGGGCUCUAUCAAAGGAGGCAUGAAUUUAGUUCAUCUUCAACAUCAUAGCUCUUUGAUCUGCUACAUUUGUUCAUUAUGUGAGAGAGAACAUUUGAGAAGACAUUAAAUAGGUCUGAGACGAUGCCCAGGGGUCACAGGACUCAAUGAAAGAGCAACAGGAAAGAGUUUGCGCCUGUCCCUCUUAUUCCCCAUGACAUCCUUAGUGUCCACCUAGGGUGCCUGGCACACAAAGCAUGAUGGGAAUAAGUGUAGCAGAAAGGGAGACAGAGGGCAACAGGGAGGAAAUAAGAGGAAAAGAAAAGUUCUAAAUAAUCUAGGUCACGAGGGAACCCCACUUCAAAUCUUGGUUCCUCUACUAGCUGUGUGACUUUGGAAAAAAAAAUUGUUAAUUUCUCUAAAUCUCCAUUUCUUCAGUUUGAAUUGAGGAUAAUAAUAUAGUCAUAUUAUUAUGAGUCUUACACAAUAUAACUCAUAUAAAAAUAUCUAGAUCAGUGCCUGACACAGAUUAGGUGCUCCAUUCCCUAAAUGUUUAUUGAAUUGCUGAAUGAAAGAAAGAAGGAAUGGAAGAAGGGAGGGAGAGAGGGAGGGAAGGAGGGAGCUAAGGGAGAGAGGAGAAGGGAAGGGAAGGAAGACUGUUUCCAACUGAGAUGGCCCUGGAGCUUGGGCACAUUGAAUGUGGUGCACGGGGCCAAGCUGAUCUCUUCCCGAGGCGUGUCAGUGGAGUGCUGCCUGCCUCUUUAUUUACAUGCCAGGUUUUCAUCAUUUACCAUCCACACUUAGGGGAUUAAUUCCCUGAAAAGUGUAGCCAGCUAGUCAAACAACACAGAAAACAGCAGCUAAGGUUGUAAUUCCUAUCCCAUCGACAGCCCUUCCACAAAAAGAGGAAGAACGGGAACAGCUGAAAACUUCCAUUCAAGUCAGUAACAGUAAGUUACAAGUGACUGUGUGUCUAGAGGGCAAGUGAGAGAUGGGCAGGAGGGGGGUGCGGAGCCAGCUCCCUCUCUUUGUGCCAGCUGUGGCACAGAGAGACCCAUCAGGCUGUGCACCAAGAACCUGCUCGGAUUUUAGGCAAAUGAUUUAAAGUGUCCAAUUUAGAAAACAUAAGUUGAAGAGCUUAUUUUUUUUCUUUCUUUUGCACCCAAUACCUUUGGAACCUUUAAAGUUGUAUUACUUGAAAUAUAAAAUGUUUCAUCUGCUGUGGAAAACAGUUUGGUGGUUCCUCAAAAAGUUAAACACAGAAUUACCAUA